rnacentral:misc_RNA from 1 species
CUUUAAUAAAAGUUUAGAUUUGGAAGAUCUUUUCUAUGAGCCAUUCUACAAACACUCGAGUUUGACGUCGAAGGGGUCGAGGGGUGACUCAGUGGUACCUGCUAUAUAGGGCGAAGGUGAUUUUAACGGCUCGUAGUUGUUCCUUCAAUCGAUACACGCGCAGUGUUGUUUGCUUCACAGUAGCGAAAAUGUUAGUGAGCUCGUUGUUCUCUGCGAGCAUCCAAAAAACGUUUUUGGACAAAGUGUGAAAUGCCCUAAAAUCACAUUGCCGCGAUAUAUGAUUUGUGAAGCGAUAAGAAUAGAUCGUAAAAUAAAAUAGUGUCGCUGAAAACUCGAGAAUUUCCGUGUCCGCGCUUUGCCGUCCGUUCAUUGAUUUCCAAGAAAACAUGCCGCGCGCAAAAAGAACCCUUCAAUUCUAACGUGAUUGUUGUGCCAGCAAAAACGAUAUCGUAAAAGUGCGUAUUCCUAUCAAACGAUCGUAGACAAUGUAAUGUUAGUGUUCACGAUUGAAGUCAAUCUCAAACUCGUUCGUCGAUAAUCACCGGUCAGUUGAAGAAGACCUGGUCAUCACGAACGGGGUAACAUUGCGUUAACCGCGAGGUGACUUUUUAAUCGAAUCAUGAUCAUUAAAAUUCUGCUGCAUACGUAAUUCGUUAUCCAAUUCGAAACAAAUGGAUUUGAAUUGUCCACGAAUAACAAUUUCUAUCGAGCUAAUAUCCAAACAUAAUAACAUUAUUAUCACAUCAUGAAAUGAUACGUCGAAGAAUUUAAUACGAAGAGGAACAGUAAUCGAAACUCAUCAGUUCUGGGAACAGCUGUUACCAAGAUUUCUACAGUAGCACAGUGUAACUGAUAUGACAAUGAAAAGUGGAAUCGCAUUUCCAUCGUCAAAACGACAAAAUUAUUGCACCCGGUUAGACGAUAACUGUUCCUCGUAACCAAACUAGACGAACGCCUCGGAUCGAGUAAUGCUAAUUGAGCCAUCUGUAACGACUUCGAAAUCAUUUAGCCGGAAACGAUAAUUCGGAAGGUGUUACGUUUCACGGAAAUCUUCUAUUAACCAGAUGAUUUGUAGCAGUAAUGCCCUCGUCGGAGGAGGAAAGUCAGUGGCUCGUUGGCAGCGGGGGUGGUCUUGCAUCUUCCGGCGGUGGUGCGAUAUCCGGUACUGGAGAACGUACAUUGAACACUAGAGGAGGAUUAUACACUGAAGAGAUGACGACUCAACAGACGAACGCAAACACUGCAGGUGUGAACGCGGCUUCAGCCGAUUCUGCUGAGCACGAUUUGAUCGACUCCACCGCGGAUGCAACACUUUUAGCACAAUUUCACGAGGACGCUAUCAAUCAGGCUGGAGUUGGUUACUUCCAAAUAUUAGCUGCUCUAUGUACAGGCUUGAGUCUCGCAGCAGAUACUGUUGAAUUUUUUGUUGUACCAUAUAUUUUGCCAAGUGCAGAAGUUGAAUUAUGCAUUGAGGACAAUGAAAAAGGAUGGCUCAGUAAUAUUACUCUGAUGGGGCUGGCAUUAGGUGGAUUGUUUUGGGGUGGUUUAGGAGAUAGAAUUGGACGACGCAGAUCAUUAUUAUCUGCAAUGUCUGUUCAUUGUUUAUUUAGUAGUGUUGCUACUUUUAUGCCAACUUAUGGCACAUUUAUGACUGCUAGAUUUUGCUCUGCAAUUGGAGUGGGAGGAACUUUACCAUUGGCAUUUACGUAUCUUGCGGAAUGUUGCCCAAGAUUACGCAGAAGUAGAUGGGUUGGUUUACUUGUUGCGGCAGGAGCAUUAGGAGGCGUAUAUGCAGCUCUUUUAGCAUGGGUAGUUGUUCCUACAACUGGGGAAAUGGUUGUUUUGGAAAAUAAAGAACAUUUCAGUGCUUGGCAUCGCUUCCUUUUACUUUGCAGCCUGCCUGCAUUAUGUUCUACAGCUGGACUCAUCUUUUUACCAGAAAGUCCAAGAUACUUAGUUGAAGUAGGCAGAGAUGUAGAAGCAAUGAUGGUUUAUCAGAAAAUAUAUAAAAAAAAUAAUGCACGAAAAGGUGCAACAGGUGCACAAUAUCAACUUUCUGAAUUAGAGCUUCCUACUAAGAGGCCUCGUGGUUUGGCACCUCCAUCUCCUACUAAUCAUACUAGUGUUUUGGCUGAUAUAAUUUAUUCAAUUGAAAUGUUUUGGAAUUCUUUCUUGGAACUGUUUGUAUCACCGCACUUGCGCGUUACGGUAGUGCUUAUAAUUAUUUGGUCGACCGUAUCGUUUGGACUGUAUGGUCUCAUGAUAUGGUGUCCUGAAUAUCUAAAACUUUUACGCGCUACAGAGUAUAAAGCUCACACUGUACAUAUUUCUGGAAAAGAAUAUAAAGGACAAACAUUUAGCGGAUCUAUAGAGAAUUGUCAAUACAAAGAUUCAACUUUUUUGAACUGCAAAUUCACAAAAAUGGUCUUUAGUCAUGUAGAUUUCGAUAAUUGUACUUUCCAAUCAGUAGAAUUUAGUAGUAUAAAGUCGAGUAAAACUCAUUUUACAGACAGCAUUAUCGUAUACUCGAAAUUUGUGGAUACGGAUUUAUCUGCACAGGUUUUUACGAAUUGUAAACUGGAAAAUAAUACGGAAUUAAGUUUAAGUGGACCCUGUCCGACUCUUGAUUUGGAUUACAAUAUUUAUAUAGAAGAAGCACUACAUGGUCAUCUUGUUGCUCAACUGGCUUUUGUGCCUGCUGCUGCUUUAGCAGGAUUGGCACUCACUGUACUUCAGCGGCCAAAAAUGAUUGGUAUUUCGUUAUUUUCAUCUUCUGUAGCUGCCCUGUGUUUGAUUCUAGUAGGCUCAAAUAGUUCAGCGGUACUUGGCUUCGAAGGCGGUUUUAUAGCAGUUUUUGCUAUUGCUUGGACAUCGCUUACAUUGGUUACGAUUGAGAGCUUCCCUACGCAUUUAAGGUGUACUGGUUUUGGUUUUAUAGCGGCAGCUAUAAGAAUAUGUGGUUUAAUAGGAACAACAACUUAUAAAACUUUAGUUGGCGCACCUUUAAUUGCGCCUGCACUACUAACUGCAUUACCUUUGGUAGUAGCCAGCGUUGUAACAUUCAAGUUACCCCACACUCAUACGGUUUUCUUAUAAAGAUAUUCCGAGUAAGUGAUAAAAAGGAGCAAAGUUGUUGCAAAAAGACGUUUUCAAUUUAUAUUUUAAUGGGUCAUUUAUGAGCUGUGCUAAUCUUUUUACUCAAUAGUUUUAUGACGCGAAAAGUCUUAAGAUACGUUUUGACGAUCGUGGAAUCGAUUUUUAUAACAAAAAAGGGUUGAAUGAAAAUUAUAAGUGGUGUUCUGGACAAGUGCGAAUUUUCAAAUUUGCAAAUUAGACAAAGAUACGUUACAUUUUCCGUUGGAAGUGUAACUUCAUACAAAGUGGAUUAUACUAAACCGGUGCAUGAGAUGAUGAGCCGUGAAGAAUUUGAGAAUUUAAAGCGCACAGAGAUUAAAGUGUAAUCGUCUGAUACGCUAGAAUAUGGAAUUUCUACAAGAUUUUAAUACACAAGUUUCAAGCGUCAACGAAAUUCGUCAUUAUUAGCAGACAAAUUUUAGAACAGACGAAAGACGUACAGAAAUCCAAUGUUUAAGUCAAAUUAUGGAAAUUUUAUGACUUAAAGGUUUUAUCCCAUCUAACUACAACUUCGAAUAUAAGAGUCAAUAUACGACUCGUCCUCCAUGGAGAAAAGUUGCAAAAUACAUAUACAUGUUUGUAAUGCUAUUUUAAUAGGAUAAUGGCAGUGAAGAGUGUCAAUUUUAAUGGAUGUUGAAUGGAUGAUCAUUAUCAUCCAUAUAAUACGGUGUCUUACGGUGUUAAGACAAGAAAAUGACUAAAACUCUGAGAAACCUUGUUUAUUGAAAAAGCAUUUGAACAUCCGAGAUAGAAUACGUGGAAUGUUGUCUAUAGUGCUUAGAUGUUUUUUUCUGUUCAUAAUUAAUCUAGAAAAGUUACGCAUGAUCCUAAAAUUACUACAUUUCAAGCAGAUCGAUGAAAAAAGUUUGCCAAGGACAGUAUCAUAGAAACUUUUGUAUCUACAAAUGCUAUGAAUGCUUUUGCAAGAAAAAUCAAGUACAUGUUCUAAAGAAAUAAAUAGGGAUACCCCGAAUCGAGUUAUAGUAUGCUGUUUGUACUGCAAGACGAAAGUAAAUCAGUAAAAAUAUAUUUAUUAUUUUUGCUUUUUAACGAUUAACUAGCUUGCAAUUCGCUCUAGAUACUAGACUCCGAUAAUCAAGAGGCAUUAUCCGUGUAAUAAGAAAUGUAAAUGCUGCCGUAUAAAUCCUAAAUUUCCAGCUUAAGAUUUGGAAUCGAAAAAUGGAAGCAUACGCUUCAACGUUUAUUAUAAAUCUAAGAGAUUAUCGCCUCUAGUCAAGUUUUGAUCAUCUUUAAGCUUACAAUGCGAUAAAUUUUAAAAAUGCGUUAAACUUUCUAAUACUUAUAAUGACGUAGGAAGUUAUUUUCUACAAGAUCAAGACGAAAGAUCGCAUUGUCAUUUUAUUGUAAAAAUCGCUAUUACAUUUAUGAAAAUUAUGCCAGAAUUUUACUGUCGUUGUGAGUCAAGAAAAACAUCAUGAUGGCAUGCCAAAGUUGGAAAAAAGUACUGGUUCCUCAGAACAAAUAACUAUUUCUAGGCAAUAAGAACGUAAAGUAAGUUUUACGACAUGAUUAUUGAAAUAUCUCAUAAGUUUUACGACAUGAUUAUUGACAUAUCUCAUUCUUAUUAAAACUUAAAAUAUAUUACUAAGUAUUUAAGCAAAUUUCUUAGUCAAGUAAAAGAAGAAAACAAACUGCUGUUGGCAAACUUAAACACAUAAAAAUCUACGUCCCAUGUUUUACUUGGAAUCGGGACCACAAAAUAGCAACUCAUGUAAUAUGUACUUAAUUGGAACACAGAAAAGGAUUUACUGUUCGCAUAUUUCCGUUGAUUGGUCAAGCAAUUUUUAAUGAAAUUUUGGUUUGGUCGCCGGCACAUGUAGUUCCACAAUUAGUGAAUCGUUGCUACAGCAUUAAAAUCAUUGUCGCUCGUAGAUAAUAUACUUUACUCGACAUAUCACUUAUGAGCAAGCACUCUAGAUUGGUAGGAUUUAAUUAGACUAUUGAUUAAACAUGCAUAGAGAUAUGUACCAGGAAUCAUAAGAAGGUAAAGUCCCAAAUCAGUAAAAUAGAAGUGUGUGUGUGUGCAGACAAACCACUUAGUUAUCAAUACCAGUUACAGAGCUUUUUGUUAAUACUAUAAACUCAACUAAUCGAACAUGAUAAAUACUUUGGUUGUACACGGAUUGAUUAUCAGCGGAUCGAGGAAUAAAAACGUAGUAGAUAAAUAAUACUAUAACAAAAUACUCAAAGAAAUUUGUGGAUUGACACUUCGUGCAAUAUUAUAUUUGUAAGUGUAAACAUUAUUUUUAUGUCGAGGAUCUAGUGCACAAAUAUACGAGAUCCUCAUUUUCUGUUAUUAAAAACUGACUGUAUGCAAUUGCUCAGAUUAUUCAAAAUAAUUAGGCGAAUAUUCAGACGUUUUAAUAUUUAGAAAGGUAUGUAGAAAAGUAAUGAAAACAUCCUAAUUAUUUUGCGUAAUAUCUUUUAUAUAGACUGAAGAUACAGAUUGGUUGAUAAUCACCGUGUUUUUUUAUAGAGACUGCUUUCUAACGCUUAAAUCUGUAAACUUUUCCUCCGAGAACAGGAACACAUUACUUGGUGAUAGUAAGAAUGAAUAUGCAAAUAACUAAUUUCUUGAAGAUUUCUGGUUGCACUUUUUGUUAAACAAUGAGAUUUUACUAUAGUUAUUAUUUGAUUCCUAUUUAAAAUAGAAAGUUAUAGAUACCAUAUUCACAUGCAAUACUUUAAUAUCUGCCACAUUAAAUUGAGCAGAUUUAUGAUUGAUCCAUCUUUUGUAUUUAAAACAAAGAGCUAUUCAUUACAUUAUGCAACCAGUACUUAACAAGAAACUAAAUAAAAUUAUUUGUUAAUAUAAUAUAUUAGUGAAAAACAUUACAUAUUCCUGUAAUUGGUUUGAAAAAUUAAUAAGGGUAUUAUAUUAAUGCUUAGAAUAUUGAGUCCAUUUUAUAGAAAACAUUGAUCAUAAGAUAGUAGAAACAUAAUAUCAAGAAGACUUUAUCUGAAACAUUUAUUUUAUGAUUUAAUUAAAAGUGAAUUUUAUUUUUAUUUACUAUUUAAAAGAAUGUGGUCCACCUUUCUUUUUGUUAUGUUUUUUUUAUACAUGAAAGGAACAAUCAAGUUUCAUAUAAUGCUUAGAACAUUAGAAGCAACAAGUACAUAGCUGAAUAAAAUUACGCUUUUAAGAUUGUUCUUCAAAUGUAAUGGACUUUGUUUUUUAAAUAUCUUUUUUCCGAGGGACCUAGAAUAAAAAAAGAGAACGGUUUGACAUUUCGAGCAAAAUACGUACGUAAACAAUGGAUUGGUUAAUUUGUAUUAUAGCAAUACGUAUGUAAAAAUUGUUAAAACGAUUGCGAUUAUAGUUUUAGAUGUGUGUUUAUCUUGCAAUACUUUUAGAUCUUUAUUCUAUAACAAAAUCUGUAUAUAAUUUGUAAGGAAAAUCUGCAAGCUCUUGCAAGUUUUAUAGCAAUAUGUAGUAACUUAUUCGUAAUAUUAAUUGUCAUACUGUUGUUAAUGUCGUACACUGAUAUUCUCAACAAAAAUCAAUCUCUCGAAAAGUUAUUUGAAAUUUUAUCUAGAAUAUCGCAAAAGCCAGAUAAUUUCGAGAGUUUUUAAGCAUUCUGUUUUAUAACAUCGACAAGCAUAGAAAAAUUUAGGGUCAAUUAAAAGAAAAUGCUCUGUUAAAUAACGAGAUUAAAAAAAACUGUAAUACGUCGCUGUGAACAGUUGUAAUUUGAGAACGGACAUGAAUGACCUGCAUAGAUACUAUGUACUUUCCAAUUUCGUAUUUUUAUUCCAUCCUGAUGAUACGAUUAAUUGGAAAAUCUAUAAUCGUGAUAUUUUUUUAUAUGUUUACUCUUUUAUAUUAGCAAACUAUGUGUUUUAGACGAUUUAAUUACCUAUGAUCACUUAUUUGUAUUCAGUGACACAUUAUACUUUAAAUACUUUUCGUAUCGUUGUGAUUAAGAACGGGAAAUUAAUUUUUUCGUGUAUUUCAUUCAAGUAUACAAAGAUAACUUUAACGGCAGUUGAUUGCAGAUGUAACGAACAUUUAAGCUAAAUAACAGAAUGUACCAGUGGAAUAAACAAGAUAAAUUUAUUAUG